UGGCUCUCCCAUCGAUGAAGAACGCAGCGAACUGCGAUACGUAAUGUGAAUUGCAGAAUUCAGUGAAUCAUCGAAUCUUUGAACGCACCUUGCGCCGCUCGGUUUUCCGAGGGGCACGUCUGUUUGAGUGUCACGUUAAUCUCUCACUUUCCUUCGGGUUAAGUGGAUUUGGACUUUGCUGUUGAUUUUUUUCAACGGCUAGUCUUGAAAUGCAUUGUUGCCUGCAGAGUCUUGCGCGGAGCGAGACUGGCGAAACGGUGUGAUAUUUACUAUCUGCGCUGAAGUAGUCGGUUUUGUGCUGCUGCACUUAGAAGUGCUCUGGGCUUAUAAUAAUAAAUGGCGAUCUUUGCAUCGACAUUUUCUUUCUUUGCGUUUGACCUCAAAUCAGAUGGGACUACCCGCUGA
rnacentral:misc_RNA from 1 species